rnacentral:rRNA from 1 species
AGCAGCCGCGGUAAUUCCAGCUCCAAUAGCGUAUAUUAAAGUUGUUGCAGUUAAAAAGCUCGUAGUUGAAUUUCGGGACUAAUAUGUCGGUCGUACUUUGUACGUACUAGCAUUAUUGGUUUCUCCCUUCUGACGAACCACGAUGUCAUUAAUUUGGUGUCAUGGGAAAUCAGGACUGUUACUUUGAAAAAAUUAGAGUGUUUAAAGCAAGCUCGCGCUUGAAUACACUAGCAUGGAAUAAUGAAAUAGGACGUUUGAUUCUAUUUUGUUGGUUUCUAGGAUCGACGUAAUGAUUAAUAGGGAUAGUUGGGGGCAUUAGUAUUCAAUUGUCAGAGGUGAAAUUCUUGGAUUUAUUGAAGACUAACUACUGCGAAAGCAUUUGCCAAGGAUGUUUUCAUUAAUCAAGAACGAAAGUUAGGGGAUCGAAGACGAUCAGAUACCGUCGUAGUCUUAACCAUAAACUAUGCCGACUAGGGAUCGGAUGAUGUUAAUUUUUAAUGUACUCA